UGGAGUUGAAAGAAAAGAAACAAGACUUUGGAGUUAUAUCCAAAUGUUCCCAGUAUUUCCCAGUCUUCUUCAAAGUCUAAAUUUUAUGUGCAGGUACUCCCUCCUGCUUGGAAGCCUUUAAUUCUCUCCUGCGGAAUACAUU